rfam:Mesocricetus auratus contig050762, whole genome shotgun sequence.
GGGAAGAUGGCUCAGCACUUAAGAGCACUGGAUGUCCUUCCAGAGGAUCUGGGUUCAAUUCCCAGCGCCCA